rnacentral:rRNA from 1 species
CAGCGCAAGGGUGAGUAAUACAUGGCUAACAUACCCCAAACAUGAGAAUAACUAUUAGAAAUGAUAGCUAAUGCUCAAUAGUUUCUUAAGACCUCCUGGUCUAAAGAAUAAAGGUAGGGAUCCUUCGGGACCUUCCGGUUUGGGAGUGGGUCAUGGGCUAUCAGCUAGUUGGUGAGGUAAAGGCUCACCAAGGCUAAGACGGCUAGGCGAUCUGAGAGGAUGAUCGCCCACAUCGGGACUGAGACACUGCCCGGACUCCUACGGGAGGCUGCGGUCGAGAAUCUUCCGCAAUGGGCGCAAGCCUGACGGAGCGACGCCGCGUGAGGGACGAAGGCUUUAGGGUCGUAAACCUCUUUCGCUUGUUAAGAAAAGUGUAUGUUAAUAGCAUGCACCCUGACAAAGGCAAGUAAAGAAGCACCGGCUAAAUCCGUGCCAGCAGCCGCGGUAAUACGGAUGGUGCAAGCGUUACUCGGAAUCACUGGGCGUAAAGCGUUCGUAGGUGGUUUAUUAAGUUGGAUGUGUAAUCCCACGGCUUAACCGUGGAACUGCGUUCAAAACUGAUAAACUAGAGAGCAGUAGGGGACAAGGGAACUUCGGGUGGAGCGGUGAAAUGCGUAGAUAUCUGAAGGAACACCGAUGGCGAAAGCACUUGUCUGGGCUGAUUCUGACACUGAGGAACGAAAGCUAGGGUAACGAACGGGAUUAGAUACCCCGGUAGUCCUAGCCGUAAACGAUGGAUACUAG